UCUACAUUUAUGCAGUUAAAAUAAAGACUAAAGACAUGAAGCUGAGCUGAUUGAAGAAAGAAGUCUCUGAGUGGAGGAACCAGAGUUCUCCAGAUUCCUCCAUCACUGAUUCCUCACUGCUUAUUGAAUGAAGAAAUCUCACCAGAACCAGAUGUUUUCUAUUCUUCAUUGAGGUCGUCCAGAUGAUGUCCACCAACCUGCUCUCAGCUCGUUCUCCAGAUCCAAACAUCAGCUUCCAUCUAAAGAUUUGUAUUAUCUACAUGUCUCUGAUUCAUACUUUUACAGAACAUAUUUGUUCAUUUUGACCAUUUUCAAGUAGUUAAAUGUUACUUGAAUGUAUUUCAUGGUGACUUUCUGCAUUGCUGUCAGUAAAUUCAUUGUUUUAUAGUUUCUCACUGAGC